rnacentral:lncRNA from 1 species
UGUGAGACGCCGCCUGGACGCGACAAAAGCCCGACUCUCCUCCUCUGGGCCCGGCCUCUUUUCAAAGGAAAGCGCUUAAUUGUGCGGGUUCCUUGUUUGGGGAGGGAGCGGGAGGGAACUCCACACAGAGUGGCGGCUGGCCUCAGCACCGCUACAUCAAAGCCUGAUCGACAAUUCAGCUCAGUGGAACGGAACUCGGGCACAUUUUCAAGCAAGGGAGGCAAGGCAAGGCAAACCACGAUCACCACCCAUCCUUGGCUGCAGCUACAUUCCAGUGUAAUCGUUGCCGUUUACUUGCAAAUAAAUGGGUUUAGGCAACGCACCUAGAGUAGAAGUUAAUACGCUAAAGGUGAGGUUCGGAAUCAAUGGCGCUACAUCGUCUUAAAAUCUCGUACUUCGGUUCCUCGAGUAUGAUUAAUAGUUGAUAAUGGUUGGUGGUCCCUGUGGGAAGGAGAUGCCUUGAAGAGGAUCAGAACAUCUUGGGUGAGAUGACGGCUUUCCUCCUUGGAAGGUAAAGGCAGUUCAAAGAGCAAAUCAGAUGCUGGAAAGAGCAGCAGAGAAGGGAAAAGGCAGAAGGGGUGGGGGUGGGGAGGGAAUCGCCCAGUGAAAUAUUCCCUGAGCGGUAGCCUUCGCUAAACAACAGCCCCAGCCAAGGCCACCAAGGUCAAAUCCAGCCGGUUAAGAAGAGGGAGGCCGCCCCAGUCAGGGAUUCUAGCUGAAGGCCUUGCUUCUUAGCGUCGAGUGUUUAGGCGGAGAGCAAAACAGAGCAACCUCGGCUGCCUGGCAAAAGGCGGUUUUGGGUUGUUGUUUUGUUGUGUGUGUGUGUUUUUUUUCCUCCGAGAAAAUCCAACAGCUUCUGCUUCUCUAGCUGCAAAUCUUCCUGCACUCUGCUGGCCUGUGCAAUUUGGGGCGCAUGCUGGAAGCCACGUCAUGCAGAUUAGCAGUGCCAGUUAACCAUCUUGUUUUUCUGGGGCAGAACUGCUGAGCGAAUCGCCCAUGCUAUCCCUCUUCCAGGCAUGGGUAUAUGAUGUUUUAAAUCCUAUUAAGUUAAAGAUAACAGGAACAUGCUCUUUGCAUUCUGACCUAUUCUAGAAUCUGGUGGAGGGGUGGGCACAACAACCUGUUUCCUAAUAAAACCAGCUUAGAUCCCCUCA